CACAAGCAGCGGAGCAUGUGGUUUAAUUCGAAGCAACGCGAAGAACCUUACCAGGGCUUGACAUGCCGCUGACCGGUGCAGAGAUGCACCUUUAUCCUUCGGGGUACAGCGGACACAGGUGGUGCAUGGUUGUCGUCAGCUCGUGUCGUGAGAUGUUGGGUUAAGUCCCGCAACGAGCGCAACCCUUGUCUUUAGUUGCCAUCAUUAAGUUGGGCACUCUAAAGAGACUGCCGGUGUCAAACCGGAGGAAGUGGGGAUGACGUCAAGUCCUCAUGGCCUUUAUGACCAGGGCUACACACGUACUACAAUGGCAGGUACAAAGGGCAGCCACUUAGCGAUAAGGCGCGAAUCCCAUAAAACCUGUCUCAGUCCGGAUUGGAGUCUGCAACUCGACUCCAUGAAGUUGGAAUCGCUAGUAAUCGCAGAUCAGCACGCUGCGGUGAAUACGUUCCCGGGCCUU
rnacentral:rRNA from 1 species